rnacentral:rRNA from 1 species
AGAGUUUGAUCCUGGCUCAGGACGAACGCUGGCGGCGUGCUUAACACAUGCAAGUCGAACGAUGAAGCCGCUUCGGUGGUGGAUUAGUGGCGAACGGGUGAGUAACACGUGGGCAAUCUGCCCUGCACUCUGGGACAAGCCCUGGAAACGGGGUCUAAUACCGGAUAUGACACGGGAUCGCAUGGUCUCCGUGUGGAAAGCUCCGGCGGUGCAGGAUGAGCCCGCGGCCUAUCAGCUUGUUGGUGGGGUGAUGGCCUACCAAGGCGACGACGGGUAGCCGGCCUGAGACGGCGACCGGCUACACUGGGACUGAGACACGGCCCAGACUCCUACGGGAGGCAGCAGUGGGGAAUCUUGCUCAAUGGGCGCAAGCCUGAUGCAGCGACGCCGCGUGUGGGAUGACGGCCUUCGGGUUGUAAACCUCUUUCAGCAGGGAAGAAGCGAGAGAGACGGUACCUGCAGAAGAAGCACCGGCUAACUACGUGCCAGCAGCCGCGGUAAUACGUAGGGUGCGAGCGUUGUCCGGAAUUAUUGGGCGUAAAGAGCUCGUAGGCGGCUUGUCGCGUCGGAUGUGAAAGCCCGGGGCUAAACCCCGGGUCUGCAUUCGAUACGGGCAGGCUAGAGUUCGGCAGGGGAGAUUGGCAUUCCUGGUGUAGCGGUGAAAUGCGCAGAUAUCAGGAGGAACACCGGUGGCGAAGGCGGAUCUCUGGGCCGAUACUGACGCUGAGGAGCGAAAGCGUGGGGAGCGAACAGGAUUAGAUACCCUGGUAGUCCACGCCGUAAACGUUGGGCACUAGGUGUGGGCGGCAUUCCACGUCGUCCGUGCCGCAGCUAACGCAUUAAGUGCCCCGCCUGGGGAGUACGGAAGC